AUACCAUGAUGUGGGCACCUCCGUAGAAGAUCCUUAAACCUUUCCAUGCUUCAUACAAUGACUCUGAAUCUUGUUGGUAAAAGUUGGUGUCUCACUCCUCAGUUU